CAUGUACAUAUAUCUAUACAAUAGGGUCUAGUCUCAAGCUUAAAGAAAACUCUCAAUCCAAACAGACCCACGUAUAGUUCUGAAUCCGUGACACUUAGUCAACUCAGCUAGGACUGAGUCGACUAACUUCAGUCAUUGAGUCGACUAACAUCUAAUUUAGUUGACUCAGUCUCAGUCACUCAAAAACUGUAUUCUCUAUUUGUUUGUGACAUAGUCCACUCAGUCU
rnacentral:lncRNA from 1 species